rnacentral:rRNA from 1 species
CCUACGGGUGGCUGCAGUGAGGAAUAUUGGUCAAUGGCCGGAAGGCUGAACCAGCCAAGUCGCGUGAGUGACGACUGCCCUAUGGGUUGUAAACCUCUUUUAUAAGGGAAGAAUAAAUGCUACGUGUAGCAUGAUGCCUGUACCUUAUGAAUACGCAUCGGCUACUUCGUGGCAGGGGGCCAGGGUAAUCCGGAGGUGCUGGGCGUAACCGGGUUUUAUUGGGGUAAAGGGGUCGGUAGGGGGAUUUUUAGGUUGGUGGGAAAACGUCGGGGCUUCACCUUGAUUUGCCAUUAAUACUGUAAGACUCGAGUUCAGACGAGGUAGGCGGAAUAAGUUAAGUAGCGGUGAAAUGCUUAGAUAUAACUUAGAACUCCGAUAGCGAAGGCAGCUUACCAGACUGCGACUGACGCUGAAGCACGAGAGCGUGGGUAGCGAACAGGAUUAGAUACCCGGGUAGUC